rnacentral:rRNA from 1 species
GAUGAACGCUGGCGGCGUGCCUAAUACAUGCCAGUCGAGCGAACAGACGAGGAGCUUGCUCCUCUGACGUUAGCGGCGGACGGGUGAGUAACACGUGGAUAACCUACCUAUAAGACUGGGAUAACUUCGGGAAACCGGAGCUAAUACCGGAUAAUAUAUUGAACCGCAUGGUUCAAUAGUGAAAGACGGUUUUGCUGUCACUUAUAGAUGGAUCCGCGCCGCAUUAGCUAGUUGGUAGGGUAACGGCUUACCAAGGCGACGAUGCGUAGCCGACCUGAGAGGGUGAUCGGCCACACUGGAAGUGAGACACGGUCCAGACGCCUACGGGAGGCAGCAGUAGGGAAGCUUACGCAAUGGGCGAAAGCCUGACGGAGCAACGCCGCGUGAGUGAUGAAGGUCUUCGGAUCGUAAAACUCUGUUAUUAGGGAAGAACAAAUGUGUAAGUAACUAUGCACGUCUUGACGGUACCUAAUCAGAAAGCCACGGCUAACUACGUG